rnacentral:lncRNA from 1 species
CCUUAAGAGAUUCAUAUCUUCGUGAUCGGGGUUUCUUGAUACCAUUUCUGUGCCUUUUUCGGGACUGGUUGUUUGUGCUGUGGUUCUUGGACUUGGCCAUGUCUGCACCUUAAGCUGUGGCUCCUGAAGCACCUAGAACUGGAAAUAUUCUGCUUUUUCUCUACCACUGAACAUUUCAUGUUGUCUCUAAGUCAUUCAUCUACACUUUUCUCUCCAAUUAUCAGCACUCUUUUCAUUUCACUCAUAUUUCCUCCUGGCCUAGAUCUCAUGCUCAGCCAUUUUGAAAUUUGCUCAUAAAUGCCAAGGAUUUCUUCCCUUCACUGGUUUUCUACUGCCCGUGUUUUCCCAGCCCCAGCUGGCUCCUAUUGCCCUGUUUCUCCCCUCCCACACUGCAGGAUAUUGCUGGAGAAAGUCCCAAGGUCACGCUGGUUUGACCCAGUAUAGAUUCACAAUUCCAAACCUCACCUGGGCUUCAUUUGGGCUUUUUUUUUUUUUUAGAUGGAGUUUCCCUCUUGCUGCCCAGGCUGGAGUGCAAUGGUGUGAUCUCAGCUCGCUGCAACUGGCUCACUGCAACCUCCGCCUCCCAGGUUCAAGUGAUUCUCCUGCCUCAGCCUCCCGAGUACCUAGUAUUACAGGCGCCCGCCACCAUGCCUGGCUAAUUUUUUGUAUUUUUGGUAGAGAGGGGGUUUCACCAUGCUGGCCAGGCUGGUUUUGAACUUCUGACCACAGGUGAUACAGCCGCCUCGGCCUCCCAAAAUGCUGGGAUUACAGGCAUGAGCCACGGCGCCUGGCCUGGGCUCUUUUUGACGGUGGCUUUCUAUACAGUGUUGCCUAAGACUUCUCAACUCCCUUAAGCCCAAAAUCCACCCCUGCCACACUUAUUAUAAGACCUCAUUUUCUACUUACAGGGAAGAUGGAGGUCAUUCAAGACCCCACCCCCACCCCUGCCAUCACCUUUAUCUUAGAAUUAGUCCAUAUCUUUACCUUCUGUCUCUAGGAACAUCUCUUCCCCUGCAGAAAGCACAUGCCUCAUCUCAUCCCCCUCCACUGAUGACUCCUCUCAUCCCUCAUGUUCUUACCCUUUUUCUCUCUCCUUACUUCUUACCCUCUUCCCACAAACAUGCUCAAUUCUGCAUCAACCUAAAAAUAGAAAAUCUUUUCCCAGCUGGGCACAGUGGCUCACGCAUGUAAUCCUAGCACUUUGGGAGGCUGAAGCAGGUGAAUCGCUUGAGUACAGGAGUUCCAGACCAGCCAAG